rnacentral:rRNA from 1 species
AUGGACCAAUCCAUCCCUUUUUCCCGUGCAUAUGCAUCGGACUCGGAUGACGAUGGUCCUAAUGAAGAAGUUGAUGAGGAGGGGUUCACGCCGAAGGAGGCCCAAGCAUUCAAGAAGGUAUUCGGGCGGGAUCACAAGACACCAUUGUUCAAGGAUCUUAGUCUCGCGGAUGAAGCCGUUGUGGAUGGUGGCAAAUGCAUAUCUCUUGGAGCUAGGCCAAGUUCUCAC